rnacentral:rRNA from 1 species
GCGCACGGGUGAGUAACACGUAUCCAACCUGCCCUUUACUCGGGGAUAGCCUUUCGAAAGAAAGAUUAAUACCCGAUAGUAUAAUGAUUCCGCAUGGUUUCAUUAUUAAAGGAUUCCGGUAAAGGAUGGGGAUGCGUUCCAUUAGGUUGUUGGUGAGGUAACGGCUCACCAAGCCUCCGAUGGAUAGGGGUUCUGAGAGGAAGGUCCCCCACAUUGGAACUGAGACACGGUCCAAACUCCUACGGGAGGCAGCAUG